AAUAGAGAUCAGUGAAGGGAGGGCAGGGGAGCCACAAAAUCACAGAAAAACGACAUACAAGGACUAGUGGGCAUCGGCUGGAACCGUCGCAGGCCACAAGUGUCGCCAGCAGAAGGACUCCCCUUGAGAAGUGUCUUGGAAUCGGCGGUGUAAAGUUGGAGGCGAGGACGCCAUGGAUGACAUGAGGAAAGGAAAGGAAAGGAAAGGAGCAGGAAGAGUAAGUGGGUUAUACUUAUUUCAGAAGAGAAAUACGUGAUGAUGAAUAGAGGGGGGAGGGUUGAAUUGGUAGGGUUUCGUCCAUGGUGUGGUUAGUCAUGGUGUCUCUCUGUGGUGGAAGAUGCAUAAAUAAAUCAUAAUGCAUUUGGUAGUGGUUAGAGUUACGAGAGCAAGCACAUACAGGCAUCGGAAUAGGGAUUUUUCUUUAGCCUUUACCUUUACCCACCUCCACCUCCACCUCCACCUCCACCUCCAGGGGAUUGAAGCUCCAAUUUCAGAGCAUAUGUGAAAGAUGUGUCGAUCAAUUUGGAGUAGGGUUGAAACACUGUUAGCUGUUAAAAUGAGUUGUAGUUACAGCGUUGAAAAACUUUUUAGGUC